CUUUUUCUUUUGCUAGGUUAAUUAAAGAAGAAGGGGAAGGGGAAGGAGAAAAGUACUCACCGUCUGGCACCGCGUGGCUGGUCAUCAAGAAUUAACGCAGGCUGCCCCUGUACCGUGUCCAAUCAACGUCACGUUCCUAGGAUCGCCGCCGAAGUUGCCGAUGUUCUCCUGCACCCAAUGGAGCGCCGCGAUUUGAUCCAUCAGACCGUAAUUCGCCGGCGAGCAGUUUGCUUAUUGGAAAAAAGAGAGGGGAGGUUGGUCCGGAACAAAGGGAGAAGUUUGGUGGAAAGGGAUGGGGUGGAGAGGAAGAGAGGUAACGAUAAUUCAACUGCGUACAGUAAGUCAAACUUCGGAAUGAUAACUCGGAACAUCUGUUGCGAUACUUAGCGAAGCAAUAAAGAGUUUAAUGAGUUUCG